rnacentral:lncRNA from 1 species
UACAGAGGCAAAAUGAACCCAAAGACGGCUCUCCAUAGCCUUUGAUGUGGGCUGAGUCUCUUUAACUCACGUUGAAGGCCGAUGCUACUGGAGAGCCUAGAGGAGUACACGCAACUCACCGUUUUCCUGUACCUGAAAAGAAAUUAGGAGGGAAAAUUGACCGCAAGGGGACUCAGAAAUGUCACCAUUUUUGGCUGUAAAGAGAGAAAUUCGUGCUGCAUGCUGGGCAGCAUCUCUCCUCUGGUAGAUGGUUACAGCUUUAAACCAGCUGAAAAUUUGAGAAUGCAACCUUGGGCCCAGCCUGCUACCUUAAAAAAUGUUAUGGCCGUUGACUGAGUGUAAUGAAGCCCAGCUGUUGUGGUUUCCUCGCUGCUAGUUCUAACAGUGCACACAGAGCUAUAAAUCAAGGAGACACGG